rnacentral:piRNA from 1 species
UGACCAAGGAGGCAGUGUCAGAGGUGU